rnacentral:rRNA from 1 species
GUAAUGAUCUUUCUUCCGUAGGUGAACCUGCGGAGGGAUCAUUACACAAUAAAAUACGAAGGCCGUUCGCGGCUGGACUAUUUAUUACCCUUGUCUUUUGCGCACAUUGUUGUUUCCUGGGCGGGUUCGCUCGCCACCAGGACCACAAUAUAAACCUUUUUUAUGCAGUUGCAAUCAGCGUCAGUAUAACAAAUGUAAAUCAUUUACAACUUUCAACAACGGAUCUCUUGGUUCUGGCAUCGAUGAAGAACGCAGCGAAAUGCGAUACGUAGUGUGAAUUGCAGAAUUCAGUGAAUCAUCGAAUCUUUGAACGCACAUUGCGCCCUUUGGUAUUCCAAAGGGCAUGCCUGUUCGAGCGUCAUUUGUACCCUCAAGCUUUGCUUGGUGUUGGGCGUUUUUGUCUUUGGCCCGCCAAAGACUCGCCUUAAAAUGAUUGGCAGCCGACGUACUGGUUUCGCAGCGCAGCACAUUUUUGCGCUUGCAAUCAGCAAAAGAGGACGGCAAUCCAUCAAGACUCCUAUCACGUGACCUCAGAUCAGCUGCUAAGAUAC